GUUGCGCAGAAGUUUUCAGAACCAGAAUCAAAACAUUGGAAGUCGAUUUUUGAGCAGCAUGUCGUGGAAGUACGGAAAUGAUUUUGUUGGCUUCGAGGACGAAGAUAUCGAAUGGGAUUUUGUGAUGGGACAGGAAGACUUUUUCCCCUCUAAUGCUGCCGAUGUUCCAGACGAUAUGAAAGUACAUGUACGCGAAUCUGCUAAACGGAGAAAUUUCGUCUACGUCUGCCCGACUUGCGACAAGCAGUACAAAAGUUUAAGUGGCUUCAAGGGGCACAUGAAAAAUGUUCAUGAUACAAACGUCAAAGUUCCUGAACACUAGCAAACUGGCAAUAUUCAAUCUGUGAAAAGAAGGUCCAGUGAAGAACACAGCAGAUCAGUGUUGGCAAGAACCCGAAGGGACACCAUGGACUACCAGUCUGAAACAGUUGAAGCAGCAAGCACAAGUGAACUAAGUAUUGAGGAAGAGCAGGCACUCAGAUAUUUUGCUGAUUACAUUCCCUACAACUUAAAGAAAAUGGCAAUGAAAGCACAAAAGCAAAAUUAAUUAAAAUUUGUAUUUAUUUAUAACUUAUUUACAUCUAACAAUAAAUACAAAAAACAGCAA